UACGAGGGGGGGCAAAUGUUGUUCGGAAUCACUGGGCGUAAAGGGUGCGUAGGCGGCGCGGUAAGUCGGGUGUGAAAUCUCGGAGCUUAACUCCGAAACUGCAUUCGAUACUGCCGUGCUUGAGGACUGGAGAGGAGACUGGAAUUUACGGUGUAGCGGUGAAAUGCGUAGAUAUCGUAAGGAAGACCAGUGGCGAAGGCGGGUCUCUGGACAGUUCCUGACGCUGAGGCACGAAGGUCAGGAGC
rnacentral:rRNA from 1 species